rnacentral:snRNA from 1 species
GAAUGCGGGGUGGUUUGGUUGCAACGUCUGCCACUCCAUUGAUCGCCAGCAUUGAUUCAGCUGAUCUGGCUGGCUAAAAUGAUAUUCCCUUCCUUCUUUGCUACUUCCCAUGAAGCUCCAUGCUCAGUGGAAGAGGUUGACCAUUCUAGAUAGACGGUGUCAAUGGGAUACAAAAGCUGUAUUGUCCUUCUAGAACCUCCAACCAACCUCAAAGUCCAUUAUUUCAGAAAUCGUUCUAAGGGNCUGUUUGCACUUAGUGAGUGGAACAUUCCAGGACAC